rnacentral:rRNA from 1 species
UGGGGAAUUUUGGACAAUGGGGGAAACCCUGAUCCAGCCAUCCCGCGUGUGCGAUGAAGGCCUUCGGGUUGUAAAGCACUUUUGGCAGGAAAGAAACGUCGCGGGUUAAUACCCCGCGGAACUGACGGUACCUGCAGAAUAAGCACCGGCUAACUACGUGCCAGCAGCCGCGGUAAUACGUAGGGUGCAAGCGUUAAUCGGAAUUACUGGGCGUAAAGCGUGCGCAGGCGGUUCGGAAAGAAAGAUGUGAAAUCCCAGAGCUUAACUUUGGAACUGCAUUUUUAACUACCGGGCUAGAGUGUGUCAGAGGGAGGUGGAAUUCCGCGUGUAGCAGUGAAAUGCGUAGAUAUGCGGAGGAACACCGAUGGCGAAGGCAGCCUCCUGGGAUAACACUGACGCUCAUGCACGAAAGCGUGGGGAGCAAACAGGAUUAGAUACCCUGGUAGUCCACGCCCUAAACGAUGUCAACUAGCUGUUGGGGUCUUCGGACCUUGGUAGCGCAGCUAACGCGUGAAGUUGACCGCCUGGGGAGUACGGUCGCAAGAUUAAAACUCAAAU